AUGGAUUUAGAUCCACUCCUUUAACAAAUGCUUCUGAUCCAGGAAUUACAAUCGCUGGGUGUGAGCCUGGGGAGGAGCAAAGUCUUCUGGAAUUCCAAGCCCAGGUCUUUGGACUGUGUGGUUAAUUCAUAACAGAUCCACUGCUGGAGCAGAGAUGAGACGGAAUCCUCUGUGACGGUGUGCGGGGACUGGAUGGAGCUGGGUACGACUGCUAGUCAUUGCUUCUAAGAUGCCGGUUCUACACUUUGCCCGGGCCUAAGAGUACCCAGCUAAGGACUGCUGCGCUGCUGAGAUGGGAGAAGUCAGGGUUUCCCUUGAAGAUGGAGGAGGUCUGGUCAACCCUGCGCUGGAACUUACGGAAGCAGAAGGAAAUCCAGGGAUCAAAAAGAAUGGCUGUUCAUCUGAGCUUAUAGAAGAAAAUAACGCACAACCUGCUCCUAGCCAAAGGUACAGUCAACAAGGGAGAGCCCCGUUUAGAUACCACCAACAACCCCACCCGCCCCCGGCUUGUGGAAUGCAAGGAGGAGGAUCAUCCACACCCUGAGUUUUUUAUAUCCACCCCGUGGCACUUAAGCAAGGCUUGAAGGGGCAUCAUG
rnacentral:lncRNA from 1 species